rnacentral:rRNA from 1 species
GAUGAACGCUGUCGGCGUGCCUAAUACAUGCCAGUCGAGCGAACAGAUGAGGAGCUUGCUCCUCUGACGUUAGCGGCGGACGGGUGAGUAACACGUGGAUAACCUACCUAUAAGACUGGGAUAACUUCGGGAAACCGGAGCUAAUACCGGAUAAUAUAUUGAACCGCAUGGUUCAAUAGUGAAAGACGGUUUUGCUGUCACUUAUAGAUGGAUCCGCGCCGCAUUAGCUAGUUGGUAAGGUAACGGCUUACCAAGGCAACGAUGCGUAGCCGACCUGAGAGGGUGAUCGGCCACACUGGAACUGAGACACGGUCCAGACUCCUACGGGAGGCAGCAGUAGGGAAUCUUCCGCAAUGGGCGAAAGCCUGACGGAGCAACGCCGCGUGAGUGAUGAAGGUCUUCGGAUCGUAAAACUCUGUUAUUAGGGAAGAACAAAUGUGUAAGUAACUAUGCACGUCUUGACGGUACCUAAUCAGAAAGCCACGGCUAACUACGUG